GACGAACGCUGGCGGCGCGCUUAACACAUGCAAGUCGAGCGAGAACCGGGACUUCGGUCCCGGGGACAGCGGCGAACGGGUGAGUAACACGUGGGUAAUCUGCCCUCGAUUCUGGGAUAGCCCGGGGAAACCCGGAUUAAUACCGGAUAGCCUUUCGAGCCUUCGGGCGCGAAAGAAAAGGUAGCUUCGGCCUCCGAUCGAGGAUGAGCCCGCGGUGGAUUAGCUUGUUGGCGGGGUAAUGGCCCACCAAGGCGACGAUCCAUAGCUGGUCUGAGAGGACGAUCAGCCACACUGGGACUGAGACACGGCCCAGACUCCUACGGGAGGCAGCAGUGGGGAAUCUUGCGCAAUGGGCGAAAGCCUGACGCAGCGACGCC
rnacentral:rRNA from 1 species